rnacentral:rRNA from 1 species
GAUGAACGCUGGCGGCGCGCCUAAUACAUGCAAGUCGAGCGAACAGACGAGGAGCUUGCUCCUCUGACGUUAGCGGCGGACGGGUGAGUAACACGUGGAUAACCUACCUAUAAGACUGGGAUAACUUCGGGAAACCGGAGCUAAUACCGGAUAAUAUAUUGAACCGCAUGGUUCAAUAGUGAAAGACGGUUUUGCUGUCACUUAUAGAUGGAUCCGCGCCGCAUUAGCUAGUUGGUAAGGUAACAGCUUACCAAGGCAACGAUGCGUAGCCGACCUGAGAGGGUGAUCGGCCACACUGGAACUGAGACACGGUCCAGACUCCUACGGGAGGCAGCAGUAGGGAAUCUUCCGCAAAGGGCGAAAGCCUGACGGAGCAACGCCGCGUGAGUGAUGAAGGUCUUCGGAUCGUAAAACUCUGUUAUUAGGGAAGAACAAAUGUGUAAGUAACUAUGCACGUCUUGACGGUACCUAAUCAGAAAGCCACGGCUAACUACGUG